CUAGAGGGUCCGCUUCGAUGAUAAAGUCUAGGGGAUUUUGAGUUAGACUCAUUUCGAUAGUAAUUGCACCUCCCAUAGGCUAUGGGAGAUUUAGAGGCCAUGAGCUCUGCCCACUCCCCCUCUGAUGGUUGCUGUUGACUGAUGUUGGUAUGGCUUCUGAGAUUUAGCAUAUGAAUGUGUUGGAUGUUUAAAGGCGGUGGCUUCUAGCGAGCGGGCAUGUUUCUUGUUUG
rnacentral:misc_RNA from 1 species